GGGAUGUAGCCCAGUGGUAGAGUGCGUGCCUAAUAUGUGAAGCCCUGGGUUCAAUUCCCAGCACUCCCC
rnacentral:tRNA from 1 species